CUGGGGAGAGCCAGUGCAAGUGAACUCAACUUCGGCUGUGUAGGUUUGCUAUAAUCUUUAAAUGCUCCUAAGUUUUUGCAAACGCUGUGAUUUUAGUAAAGAAACAUAAAUAACUAGCGUGUCUGGAAAUAGGCGAAAUAUGCUCACAUCAUAACACGCCACGUUUUUUUUAAAUUUAGUAAUAUGACAAGAAAAACUUGGGACCGGUAAGUAGAGCCUUAUUUAGACACCUCUAUUAAACGAUGUUGGAAAUGGAUGGAAGGACGUUAUGGACGUUCUUUAUUCAUCUGAAAUUAAUGAAAUAGACUACAUCUCACCUGUCUUUGGACUAUCUACAGUUCCUAUAAUGUAAUUAUUACAUAUUUGGAUAAUUUAUUUAGGAAUAAAACUCCAAUCACUGUGUACAGUACACUGCUUGCAUCGGGUCAGUGGAACUAUUUUAUACUUCUUUUUAUGACAUUUACACCAGAUGUCAUGCAAUAAACGGCCCCGGUUCUUUAUGUUAUGUCUUGUUUGACGGUACAAUGUGUGUUAUUCAUAAUAUUGUUUGUGUGUUUUUGCUGCCAGUGCAGCGAUUGAAAAGCUCUAAAAGCAGGUAAGCCACUGACUAACGCACAUUGCGCCCAAUGCCAGUUCCACUGUGCGUGUGACAGCGGCUAACCUGGUUUUGGGAAUGCCUCUCAUGGAGCAGACAAGACAUCAUUCAGCAAGCACGCCUUCACCAUGUCCCCGUACUAUAUUGCCGAUCGGGCAAGCCUGCGUUGGGGGGUCCAACAACCCCGCCCUUUGUGCACCUACUGUACUUUAUUUAUGGCCCGCACGGCGGGUGCACGUAUUCUUGUAGGUCCGAACUCUGUGACCUACACUCUCAAAUACUUUUGUUCCUUCAUAUUGAAUAUCCAUGAUAUGACUGCAACAAUUUGCCUUCAAACUAUACCAGUUCAAAUCAUUACUUAAUGUUCUUUAUGUGUGAUUUGUAAAGUGACACAUUUUAAUAAGCGAUCGUGAUUUAUCUCCCCCUCCCUUUUUUUUUUGCAAGUGGUCUCACUGAAACGAAAGCAAUCAUUUUAAUGGGAAGUCCGCAUUCUCCUGGAAAGGGGAUCAUCCGGCAUAUAAACAACUGCAUCGCUUUCUGUGUGACUGAAGCAGCUGGUUGGACAUUUGAUUGGAAACGCCUGUACGGCAUUGUAGGACUCUUUAUAUCCACAAGUGGGCGUCAGCGGUGCACCUUGUCUGUCCAGACAGUGGCGCCAACACAUGGAUUAGAGCGAUUAUAUAACCCGUACCAGACAGUUCUAAAUCUUCACACGAUAAUCCACUUCUAGAUGAGUAAUCAUUAUAUCUAACCUGGUCAUCUUGUGAAGUUUAAGUUCACAAUUUACACAAUACAUGGAGUUUUAAAAAAUUCUGAAAGUAAAAAGUUGACACUGAAUGAUCAAAUGAGUGACAGAGGUCCAGAGAUGGGCCAGAGUCUAAUAUUGACAUCACACAACUCAGGCCAUUUAUACACCAACGGUAAAAAAAAAUCUGGGAGUCGAGUUUUGCAUUGUUCACCCUGGCAUGUUGUUCAUCAUACCUGUGCAAAUGGAAGCCACUUAAUUUCCAUUUUAAGACAAAAGGGAUGUCUGCACAAUUAAAAAAAAUGUGUGCUUCAGUGAAUAUGACUGCACAGUAUGGACUGACUGAUAUUUUAUGUUUUAAAAACUUUGAUCAUGCUUGGGUAUUUCUCGAGACCUUUUGUCUGAGGUCAGCGAGCCGUCAGAUCUACCUAAAUGAGGAGAGUACAGUACUUUGAAGAAGCUCCGAGGGUGGCGAAAAAGAGCUGUGGUUUUCUGACAAAUUUGAGUGUAAAGAAUUGUUGAAUUUUGAAUUUGACUUUUUAAAGCUACAUAAUCAUGCAACAACAGAAUGCCCUACUGAAAAGAGUUCAGACUCUGCAGUUGCGAAGUAUUUAGACAAUGACAGUUUCAUGGUUUUACCUUUAUCCACUCGAACAAUGGAAGUGAAAUAUGAAAACCUGACUUCAUUCUGGGCAAGAAGCCAGGAGUGUCCAGAUAAAAACUUUUCCAAGCCUGAGUACAAUGGCCAAACUCCACACAGGAAGACUGAGGCAGACAUGCUAACCACUGAUCCACUGUGCUGCCAGCAUAUAAGAACACACCAGUCAUGGCCAUUUUAUGCAGAACACCAACGUGUUUGUUUGUUUGUUUGUUUUUAAAAUCAAAACUAAAAAAAAAAAAAAAAAUGUAUGGUUCUAUUUUUGGCCAUUUAUGCACAACACCAACAUUUUUUUAAGAUCAAAACUAAAAAAAAAUGUAUGUAUGGGUCUACUUUUAAUAAAUUUAAUGCAGAAUACCUGAAUUUUAGGGGCAUAAUAUUAGAAAAAUUGUCAAUAUAUUUGUACAAUUAACACUUGACAGAGUCAGGGAUUAUUUUUCAAGAGACAAGUUACCCUAUGACAGAUAAUACUGCUUUUCAGUUACUAAAGAAAAAAGUGAAAGCAUGUGAUUGGUGGUUGCAAUGAAGGCCUGACACAUCACCCUCUGCUGGGAGCAAAUUCUGAAUGUGAUUAUGUCCAUGACCUGCAGACUUGAAGCAACCAUUGACUUCAAUUUAUAGAUAUAGUUGCAUGUAGGUAUUUAGAUUUAUGGUCAUAUUUACAAUUGUAUCUUUGUUCAAAUACUUUUCAGCCCAUUAUGGCCAAAUACAGUAUACUGUAUUUAAGUGUGUUCACGGCAACUACUGAAGUGACACAGAAGGUGGAAGACUAUAAUCUGUAAUUAUACUACCAAUGCUCAACUACUGUAUAUAUCUUGAUUUAGACAGAGCUGCACCAAAUAUAAGUGAUGCGUGAAUUGUGA